rnacentral:rRNA from 1 species
GACGAACGCUGGCGGCGUGCUUAACACAUGCAAGUCGAACGGUGAAGCUCCAGCUUGCUGGAGUGGAUCAGUGGCGAACGGGUGAGUAACACGUGAGCAACCUGCCCCUGACUCUGGAAUAAGCGCUGGAAACGGCGUCUAAUACUGGAUACGAGAAGGGUCCGCAUGGGCACUUUCUGGAAAGUUUUUCGGUUGGGGAUGGGCUCGCGGCCUAUCAGCUUGUUGGUGAGGUAAUGGCUCACCAAGGCGACGACGGGUAGCCGGCCUGAGAGGGCGACCGGCCACACUGGGACUGAGACACGGCCCAGACUCCUACGGGAGGCAGCAGUGGGGAAUAUUGCACAAUGGGCGAAAGCCUGAUGCAGCGACGCCGCGUGAGGGAUGACGGCCUUCGGGUUGUAACCUCUUUCAGCAGGGAAGAAGCGAAAGUGACGGUACCUGCAGAAGAAGCACCGGCUAACUACGUG